rnacentral:lncRNA from 1 species
AUUUUUCUUCACAGACAAAAAGAAAAACUCCACACCCUCCCACUUAGUUGCUUCUGCCAGUUGCCUCAGGAAGUCUGUGGCUGGCUGAAUGUAGAUCAGAUCUGGUUGAGAAUUGUGUAUCAACUGCAGUAGCAAAGGUGGGGUCUUCACUGCACUUACAGGUUGACUGCAUAAAAACUAGCUCCUGAGUGUCCACAAAAGCUCCUGCUGACUUCAUCUGAAAUUCUGAAGGUGUAAGAAUGCAAUUUACCACACAGUAUUUAAAAUAAAUUUCUCAAAG